AGCCCGGUCCCAUAUGCCACUUCCUGUCUGUCACUGCUCUGCACUCAGCCCUGUCACAGCACCACGCUGUAUCUGGCAUUUGUUUGACUUUCCAAAACUGCUCCAAACUCGGAUUAAAAGUAGCAAUUGGGCUAAAACAGCUCCACGAAACUCUUCAUCCUCUCAUCUACCUCUCUGGCGAUCGAUACAUCUCCCUGUAUUCCGGCGGAUCCUCGUGUUAACCCCCCCCCCCCCGUGUUCGCACUACUCACCGGUCAGGUUUUUUUUUUUUAGGUUUUUUUUUUUGUUUUGUUUUUUUCCCCCUUCUGGAAUUAAUUCUCUUCGAUGGCGAGCUAUCCCGUCCCCUACCUCCUGCUGUGGUAGGACACCUUUUGUUGUUUCAACGAACCUGGAUCAAGGAUUAUUUUGUUCAUGGACACUGAACUGAAAAAAGACUUUGAAUUCCGAACCUCUCAAAAGGAGACUUUGAACUGAACUUUCGAACUGUAUUGGUUUUUGUUUAUAAUUAAUAUACAUAAUAUAAUAUUAAUACCAUAAUUAAUAUUAUAUUAUACUAUAUUAAUUGAUUAUACCUGUUUAUUAUCUAUAUAUUUAUAUUAUACAAACCUCAAUACUAUUUCACCCUUACUAUUGUUAUUAUUACUCUGGUUAUUAUAUAAUACCUUUUAUUUAUACGCAAAUCCAACUGCAAAUUUUGGAAAAAAUAUAUCUACGAAACUUGAAUCAACCGUGUCUGUCCAUUUUUCAUACCCUUUGGCUCCAGCAGACGAACCUGGUCUGAUCACUCAUUAUAACAUCUACUUGCAGUCAGUUCCCUAGCCCCUAGGGCGUUACACUUUCUGGUUACCUUUCAUUUUCUGCCACUGUUUUCAGUCACCAUUUACUUUUGUUGUCUACCGCUGUUUAUUCUAGUUUUCUGUCAUUGUUUUCAGUUGCACUGUACUUUCAUUUCAUACCACCAUUUUCAGUUGUUGUCACUCACUGUUUACUUCCAAUUUCUGUUGUUAUUUUAGGUCAUUUUAGGGUUUUGUUUAGGCACCAAAGCUUAAAACUUUUUUCUCAGUGUGGAAAAUAUCAUAGUUUGGCAUAAAAGUUUUGCACUGUUACUUACAUA